AUAGCGUAUAUUAAAGUUGUUGCAGUUAAAAAGCUCGUAGUUGAACUUCAGGCCUGGCUGGAUGGUCUACCUCACGGUAUGUACUGUCUGGCUGGGUCUUACCUCUUGGUGAGCCGGCAUGCCCUUUACUGGGUGUGUUGGGGAACCAGGACUUUUACCUUGAGAAAAUUAGAGUGUUUAAAGCAGGCUCGCGCUUGAAUACAUUAGCAUGGAAUAAUGAAAUAGGACGUUUGAUUCUAUUUUGUUGGUUUCUAGGAUCGACGUAAUGAUUAAUAGGGAUAGUUGGGGGCAUUAGUAUUCAAUUGUCAGAGGUGAAAUUCUUGGAUUUAUUGAAGACUAACUACUG
rnacentral:rRNA from 1 species